UGUCCCUAUGUGUCUCUUGGCGACCCUGCACACAGCAGGGGGUUGGAACUCAAUGAGCACUGUGGGCCUUUGCAAUUCAGGCCAUCCUAUGAUCCUAUGGGUCUCUCUGUGUCCCUGUGGGGGAUCUGUGUGUCCCUAUGUGUCCCUUGGCAGCCCUGCACAUAGGAGGGGGUUGGAACCCGAUGAUCACUGCGAUCCUUUUCAACCCAGGCCGCUCUAUGGUUCUUCCCCCCAGUCAGCCCACUGUUGCUUUGCAUGCUGCCUUUCCAGCAGCUCCCAUCCG
rnacentral:lncRNA from 1 species